rnacentral:misc_RNA from 1 species
UUUCCGUAGGUGAACCUGCGGAAGGAUCAUUAAAAAAUUGGACUCCAUUGGUGAGUUCAUUAAUAAUCCCUACCCUUUGUGAAUUUGUUUGUUUGAAUAAUUUUUUUUCCAAAAAAAAUUAUUGAAUGUCUUUCCUUGUUUUGGUGGAGUUUGUAAAGUGAAACCAGGCAGGGGAAUGGCAAACAAUAAUUAUUUUUGAAAAAGACCUUUUUUUAAAAUUAAACUUUUUGUAUUCAUUUGUCUAAAAUUAAUUUUUAUAAUAUAAAAACAACUUUUGACAAUGGAUCUCUUGGUUCUCGCAACGAUGAAGAACGCAGCAAAAUGCGAUAAGUAGUGUGAAUUGCAGAAUACGUGAAUCAUCGAAUCUUCGAACGCAUAUUGCACUUUUUUAGUUUACUAAAAAAGUAUGUCUGUUUGAGUAUCAGUAAAAUAUUCUCAUAAAAAACAUUGUUUUUUUUUAUGGUUAUGAGUGUUUUACAACGAUAACAAGUUGUUUCACUUUAAAUUCUUUGUUAUCAAAAAAAUCAUUAAAAGCUAAUUUUAAAGAUUUUUUAAAAUUGGAUAAAAUUUUCCCGUAAAAAGGAAUAACCUAAACAAUUUUAAAAAAUUAAAAUUGGUUUGAUUUUUUUUGAAACCCAAAGGAAAAAAAAACGAAAUUAACUUGAUCUCAAAUCAGAUAAGAGUACCCGCUGAACUUAAGCAUAUCAAUAAGCGGAGGAAAAGAAACUAACUAGGAUUCCCUCAGUAACGGCGAGUGAAGCGGGAAGAGCUCAAAUUUGAAAUCUUCAAGGUUUUACCUUGACGAAUUGUAGUUUAAAGAAGUGUUUUCUGUUGGAGUUUUGGUAAAAGUUCUUUGGAAAAGGACAUCAUAGAGGGUGAGAAUCCCGUAUUUGACCAUUAUCUCCAGCUUUGUGAUACACUUUCAAAGAGUCGGAUUGUUUGGGAAUGCAGUCCAAAAUGGGUGGUAAAUUUCAUCUAAAGCUAAAUACUGGCGAGAGACCGAUAGCGAACAAGUACCGUGAGGGAAAGAUGAAAAGAACUUUGAAAAGAGAGUUAAACAGUACGUGAAAUUGUCGAAAGGGAAGCGUUUGACACCAGUGUUGUUUUCUCGAAAAUCAAUUAAAAAAGGCCGGAUUUUGUGUUGUAUUGACUUUAUCAGCUUUCUGCACUUUUUUCUUGUCUUUUUUAAUGCACUUUUCGUUUAACAAGUCAACAUCAAUUUCUUUUGUUGUAAAAGGGUCAUUGGAAGGUGGCUUUCUUUUCGGAGAAAGUGUUUGUAGCCUUUGGCCUCUGCAAUCGGAGAGAUUGAGGUCUGCAGCGUAGAUCCUUCGGGGUUAGAUACAUUUGUGCUAAGUUAUAGCCUUUCAUAGACAACUUGUUGACUAUGAUCAGUCAUGUAGCUUACUCGCUUAUGCUAUUU